CGGCCGCCUCCUGCCCCUUCCAGCAGCCUCUCCGGCAGUGUACGCAGCCUGUUGCUCCUAUGGGUUGCUCUGAGGGACCUUGAAGACAGUC
ensembl:snoRNA SNORA70 Small nucleolar RNA SNORA70